rnacentral:sRNA from 1 species
ACGCCAAAUGGUAAAGAUAAAGUAAUUUCACCAUAAUAACAAUAGUUAAGGUAUAAAAAAGAAAUUAAGGUAUAAU